GACGAACGCUGGCGGCGUGCUUAACACAUGCAAGUCGAACGGAAAGGCCCUGCUUUUGUGGGGUGCUCGAGUGGCGAACGGGUGAGUAACACGUGAGUAACCUGCCCUUGACUUUGGGAUAACUUCAGGAAACUGGGGCUAAUACCGGAUAUGAGCUCCUGCUGCAUGGGGGGGGUUGGAAAGUUUCGGCGGUUGGGGAUGGACUCGCGGCUUAUCAGCUUGUUGGUGGGGUAGUGGCUUACCAAGGCUUUGACGGGUAGCCGGCCUGAGAGGGUGACCGGCCACAUUGGGACUGAGGUACGGCCCAGAGUCCUACGGGAGGCAGCAGUGGGGAAUAUUGCACAAUGGGCGGAAGCCUGAUGCAGCGACGCCGGGUGCGGGAUGACGGCCUUCGGGUUGUAAACCGGUUUCGGCUGUGACGAAGCGUGAGUGACGGUAAUGGGUAAAGAAGCACCGGCUAACUACGUG
rnacentral:rRNA from 1 species